GAAACUUGAGCUAAUACCGGAUGUGCCCUUCGGGGGAAAGAUUUAUCGCCAUUGGAGCGGCCCGCGUAGGAUUAGCUAGUUGGUAGGGUAAAGGCCUACCAAGGCUACGAUCCUUAGCUGGUCUGAGAGGAUGAUCAGCCACAUUGGGACUGAGACACGGCCCAAACUCCUACGGGAGGCAGCAGUGGGGAAUCUUGCGCAAUGGGCGAAAGCCUGACGCAGCCAUGCCGCGUGAAUGAUGAAGGUCUUAGGAUUGUAAAAUUCUUUCACCGGGGACGAUAAUGACGGUACCCGGAGAAGAAGCCCCGGCUAACUUCGUGCCAGCAGCCGCGGUAAUACGAAGGGGGCUAGCGUUGCUCGGAAUUACUGGGCGUAAAGGGAGCGUAGGCGGAUAGUUUAGUCAGAGGUGAAAGCCCAGGGCUCAACCUUGGAAUUGCCUUUGAUACUGGCUAUCUUGAGUACGGAAGAGGUAUGUGGAACUCCGAGUGUAGAGGUGAAAUUCGUAGAUAUUCGGAAGAACACCAGUGGCGAAGGCGACAUACUGGUCCGUUACUGACGCUGAGGCUCGAAAGCGUGGGGAGCAAACAGGAUUAGAUACCCUGGUAGUCCACGCUGUAAACGAUGAGUGCUAGUUGUCGGCAGGCAUGCCUGUCGGUGACGCAGCUAACGCAUUAAGCACUCCGCCUGGGGAGUACGGUCGCAAGAUUA
rnacentral:rRNA from 1 species